rnacentral:rRNA from 1 species
AUUGAACGCUGGCGGCAGGCCUAACACAUGCAAGUCGAGCGGAGCGGCGGACGGGUGAGUAAUGCCUAGGAAUCUGCCUGGUAGUGGGGGAUAACGUCCGGAAACGGGCGCUAAUACCGCAUACUAUCAGAUGAGCCUAGUUCGGAUUAGCUCGUGGGUGGGGUACAGGCCUACCCAGGCGACCAUCCGUAACUGGUCUGAGAGGAUGAUCAGUCAAACUGGAACGGAGACACGGGCCAGACUCUUACGGGAGGAAGCAGUGGGGAAUAUGGGACAAUGGGCGAAAGCCUGAGACAGCCAUGCCGCGUGUGUGAAGAAGGUCUUCGGAUUGUAAAGCACUUGAAGUUGGGAGGCGUUACCAACAGAAUAAGCACCGGCUAACUUCGUGCCAGCCGCCGCGGUAAUAC